rnacentral:pre_miRNA from 1 species
AAUGAGAGAAUGACAAAUUUAAUUUUUUCUUCCUAAUUUUCAGCUUUUUCCUCCUGAAAAAAAAAAUCAAAUCCAACUAAAAACACUAAAAAUUAAGAGAAAAAAAUUAGAUUUGUCAUUCUCCCAUU